rnacentral:rRNA from 1 species
CGGUAGCGGUGCGAGUAAAGUGGCGAACGGGUGAGUAACACGUAGGUGACCUGCCCCGAAGCGGGGGACAACCAGUAGAAAUGCUGGCUAAUACCCCAUAAGCUCACGCGCGUUAGAGAGGCGUGAGAAAAGUUCCGGCGCUUCGGGAGGGGCCUGCGGCCCAUCAGCUAGUUGGUAAGGUAAAAGCUUACCAAGGCGAAGACGGGUAGGGGGCCUGAGAGGGUGGUCCCCCACACGGGCACUGAGACACGGGCCCG